GACAGAGGAUGCAAACGUUGCUCGGAAUUACUGGGCGUAAAGGGCUCGUAGGCGGCCAACUAAGUCCGACGUGAAAUCCCCAGGCUUAACCUGGGAACUGCGUCGGAUACUGGAUGGCUUGAAUUCGGGAGAGGGAUGCAGAAUUCCAGGUGUAGCGGUGAAAUGCGUAGAUAUCUGGAGGAAUACCGGUGGCGAAGGCGGCAUCCUGGACCGACAUUGACGCUGAUGAGCGAAAGCUAGGGGAGCAAACGGG
rnacentral:rRNA from 1 species